UGUAAACGAGUUAAUCCAAAUUUCAGCCGAUUUAAAAAAUCUGAUCUAUUCUCAGUAUCCUGAUUACCCUUCUCGUAUUACGUUUUAAUUUUUUAGAUCUUAGAAUUUUCUUGGAGAGAGAAGAGACAUAGGAGAUUUAGAGAUUCGUUCUUCAUUCUUCAGGGAGAAAUCAUAUCUCUGGCAAACUACAUGGAGAUUCAAAUUUAUGAUACAACUCAUAAAAUGCAUGGAAUCCUGAUAAAUUGGUUUAUUGAAGUUAACUGCAAAUUUGAUUUGAUGCCAGAAAUUUUGUUUCUUAUGGUCAUAUUAUUUGACAGAUUUCUUUUUGUUUUUGCAAUAAAAAAGAACCGACAUGCAGUUGGUUAAUCUUACUGUCCUCUUAUUGGCAUCAAAAUAUGAGGAUUUUUUGGCAUCCAAAGGAGUUAGUUAGCCUUGCUGUUGACUCAUAUACAUCGGAGAUCAAAUGCUUUCAAUGGUGUGGAUCUUAAAACUCACCUUGUAUACAUUCGUAUCAGCCCCAAUUUUUGUAUAUUAAAUUGAUUCCAUCCCCCUUUUAUCAAUUUCCAGGAAAAUCUCAUACUUAAAAGGUUGUUGUUUCGUCUUAAUGCACCAACUCCUAACGUUUUCAUCAUUAAUUUCUCAAGGCUUGUCAGUGGGAUGCUAAGGUUAGUAAGUGGUAUUAGCUUGUUGGUGAAUUGGGAAAUUGACGUCAAUCGAAAAGCUUUUGUAUCCAAUUCAUGAUUUAGUGGCAGUCGUUGACCAUGACCUGGUUCAGUGAUGCAGGCUAGCGCGGCUAAGGUUUUAUUUUCUUCUUCUGUUUUUUAGUGAUUUCAUUGUAUGGGUGUCUAAAUAUAGUUAUUAUAUAGGCUAAGAUGAUUAUUAAUUCUGUAUUGUUAAAUGUAUUUUUUAUUUGGAGAAACAGUAAAACCCCUCAAAAGACAGAAUCUUAUUAAUGACAUUGACUAAAUUUUAGUGGGCAAUUCAUGAAUAAAAUCAAAAUGAAAUUUUCAGUUGGGGAUUCUAAUUAA